rnacentral:tRNA from 1 species
GGGGCCUUAGCUCAGCUGGGAGAGCACCUGCUUUGCAAGCAGGGGGUCGUCGGUUCGAUCCCGACAGGCUCCACCAUAUUGAGUGAAAAAGACUUCGGGUCUGUAGCUCAGGUGGUUAGAGCGCACCCCUGAUAAGGGUGAGGUCGGUAGUUCGAGUCUACCCAGACCCACCACUCUGAAUGUAGUGCACACUUAAGAAUUUAUAUGGAUCAGCGUUGAGGCUGAUACAUGUUCUUUUAUAACUUGUGACGUAGCGAGCGUUUGAGAUAUCUAUCUAAACGUGUCGUUGAGGCUAAGGCGGGGACUUCGAGUCCCUAAAUAAUUGAGUCGUAUGUUCGCGUUGGUGGCUUUG